rnacentral:rRNA from 1 species
UGGGGAAUAUUGGACAAUGGGCGAAAGCCUGAUCCAGCCAUGCCGCGUGUGUGAAGAAGGCCUUUUGGUUGUAAAGCACUUUAAGUGGGGAGGAAAAGCUUAUGGUUAAUACCCAUAAGCCCUGACGUUACCCACAGAAUAAGCACCAGCUAACUCUGUGCCAGCAGCCGCGGUAAUACAGAGGGUGCAAGCGUUAAUCGGAAUUACUGGGCGUAAAGCGCGCGUAGGUGGUUAUUUAAGUCAGAUGUGAAAGCCCCGGGCUUAACCUGGGAACUGCAUCUGAUACUGGAUAACUAGAGUAGGUGAGAGGGGAGUAGAAUUCCAGGUGUAGCGGUGAAAUGCGUAGAGAUCUGGAGGAAUACCGAUGGCGAAGGCAGCUCCCUGGCAUCAUACUGACACUGAGGUGCGAAAGCGUGGGUAGCAAACAGGAUUAGAUACCCUGGUAGUCCACGCCGUAAACGAUGUCUACCAGUCGUUGGGUCUUUUAAAGACUUAGUGACGCAGUUAACGCAAUAAGUAGACCGCCUGGGGAGUACGGCCGCAAGGUUA